UCGCUCUUUUAAUGUGCGAUCACUCCCGAUUCGUGACAUAUUCAAUUCGCAGACGUGGGAAUGCCUUCCCUUUAUUUGUUUCGAAUCGCUUUAGAAACCUAUUCGUUAGUUGGCAUGUUUUGUUAGCUUCUAGGUUUAGUAGAUGUGAUUUAUUGGCGGCAGGACCAAGAGGGGGGUGAGGUAGGGUGAAGCAUAAGCUGUGCAAGAAAUGGGUAAUGAAAUACUUGUGGGCAUAAAAGAUAAAGCUAUUCAAUUAAUGUUGGUGGUCGGACGGGACACAGGGUGAUAUUCAAAAUAAGUAAAAAUGUAUUUUGUAUGUACUAAAAGACACACACACACACACACUGAGCAAUCUAUUCUUCUAACAUUAUAGUUGACAUAUAGACAUACAGCCUAUUUAUAACAGCAGUGGCUCUAUUCGAGUUGUAUUUAUCUAUAUAGUGACGGA